AGAGGCUACUGCUAUCGGAGUUCGAUUAAGCCAUGCGAGUCUAAAGGUUUCUUCGGAAACCUUGGCGAACUGCUCAGUAACACGUGGAUAACCUACCCUUGGGACUGGAAUAACCCCGGGAAACUGGGGAUAAUACCGGAUAGAUCAGGGAUGCUGGAAUGCACCUUGAUCCAAAGCUCCGGCGCCCAAGGAUGGGUCUGCGGCCUAUCAGGUAGUAGUGGGUGUAAUGUACCUACUAGCCAACGACGGGUACGGGUUGUGAGAGCAAGAGCCCGGAGAUGGAUUCUGAGACACGAAUCCAGGCCCUACGGGGUGCAGCAGGCGCGAAACCUUUACAAUGUGCGAAAGCAUGAUAAGGGAGCUCCGAGUGCCAGCAUCUAAUGUUGGCUGUCCUUGUGCCUAAAACGCACAAGAUAGCAAGGGCCGGGUAAGACCGGUGCCAGCCGCCGCGGUAACACCGGCGGCCCAAGUGGUAGCCGCUAUUAUUGGGUCUAAGGGGUCCGUAGCCGGUUCGAUAAGUCCUCUGGGAAAUCUGGUUGCUUUAACAAUCAGACUGCCAAGGGAUACUGUCGAACUUGAGACCGGGAGAGGUAAGAGGUACUUCAGGGGUAGGAGUGAAAUCUUGUAAUCCCUGGGGGACCAUCUGUGGCGAAGGCGUCUUACCAGAACGGGUCUGACGGUGAGGGACGAAAGCUGGGGGCGCAAACCGGAUUAGAUACCCGGGUAGUCCCAGCCGUAAACGAUGCUCGCUAUGUGUCAGGUACGGUGUGACCGUAUCUGGUGCCGUAGGGAAGCCGUGAAGCGAGCCAACCUGGGAAGUACGGCCGCAAGGCUGAAACUUAAAGGAAUUGGCGGGG
rnacentral:rRNA from 1 species